UACAGAGGUCUCAAGCGUUGUUCGGAUUCAUUGGGCGUAAAGGGUGCGUAGGCGGACUGGUAAGUCAAAGGUGAAAUCCCGGGGCUCAACUCCGGAACUGCAUUCGAUACUGCUUGUCUAGAGGAUUGGAGAGGUGACUGGAAUUGAGGGUGUAGCAGUGAAAUGCGUAGAUAUCGUGAGGAACACCCGUGGCGAAGGCGGGUCACUGGACAACUCCUGACACUGAGGCGCGAAGGCGAGGGGAGCAAACGGG
rnacentral:rRNA from 1 species